GGAGGAUGUUUGUUAAAAAAGUAAAUUUGGUGGUGUCUUGUAAUCCCAUGUGGGAUGGGCCAACAUGUUUGGCAUGACACAGAAAUAAAAAAUG